rnacentral:rRNA from 1 species
UAAUACAUGCGCACAUACCUCUUCCCUCGUGGAAGGGUAGUGUUUAUUAGAUACAGAACCAACCCACCUUCGGGUGGUCCUCAGGUGAUUCAUAGUAACCGAACGGAUCGCAUUAUGGCCUUUUGGUCGGCGAUGGAUCAUUCAAGUUUCUGACCUAUCAGCUUUCGACGGUACUGUAUUGGACUACCGUGGCAGUGACGGGUAACGGGGAAUUAGGGUUCGAUUCCGGAGAGGGAGCCUGAGAAACGGCUACCACAUCUAAGGAAGGCAGCAGGCGCGCAAAUUACCCAAUCCUGACUCAGGGAGGUAGUGACAAGAAAUAACAACACUGGAAAUUAUAUUUCUAGUGAUUGGAAUGAUGGGAAUCCAAACCCCUUUCAGAGUAACAAUUGGAGGGCAAGUCUGGUGCCAGCAGCCGCGGUAAUUCCAGCUCCAAUAGCGUAUAUUAAAGUUGUUGCAGUUAAAAAGCUCGUAGUUGGAUAUCUGCUGGAAGCAGCCAGUCCGCCCUUUGUGGGUGUGCACUUGRUGAAUUCUGGCAUCCUCCUGAUUGGUGUUAUCAUCACUUCAUUGUGUUGAUGGCAGCUGUCAGGACCGUUACUUUGAGAAAAUUAGAGUGUUUCAAGCAGGCUUGUUGCCUUGAAUACUGCAGCAUGGAAUAACAAGAUAGGAUUUCGGUUCUAUUUUGUUGGUUUCUAGGACUGAAGUAAUGAUUAAUAGGGACAGUUGGGGGCAUUCGUAUUUAACUGUCAGAGGUGAAAUUCUUAGAUUUGUUAAAGACGAACUACU